ensembl:lncRNA
AUGGGUGUGCUAAGACGUAGUGGUGCAAAAUCUGGACCUUGCAGUCAGGUUCUUAACACAAGGAGUAAAAUGCUGAUCAGCUUUUUUACGAGUUGUAUCAGAUGGGGUGGAAAAGGAGACACUUUGAAGACUACCUGGAAAGUGAAGUUACUUCUUUCCAGCUGACGCUGCAGAUUACCAGGAUGUCAUCUUUCCUUCUCAACGUGGGAAAAGCUAUUGAAGAGAGACAUUUGUCGGCUUUGCCAGCCUAGUUAGACCGUUACUAAAACAGUGUCUCCUGAACCGUUGUUCAUUUUCAUAAACAAAUAAUAUUGAUCCAUUCACAUGAUGAAACAUUUUAAAGUAACAAAAUUUACACAGAUCACCUUUUCCCCUUUUCCCUCUACUGUCCACUCUCUUCCCCUGAGGCACCAGGCUGCCCAGUACUGUUUUAUUUUAUGUUUUUAGUUUUUAAAUUAAUUUUUAUUGGAUAUAGUUUCUUUACAAUGUUGUGUUAGUUUCUACCGGAUAGUAAAGUGAAUCAGCUAUACAUAUAUGUAUAUCCCCUCUUUUUUGGAUUUCUCUCCCAUUUAGGUCACCGCAGAGUGCUGAAUAGAGUUCCCUGUGCUAAAUGGUGGAUUCUCAUUAGUUAU